ensembl:lncRNA
UGAAGCUCUAAGCCAAUUAAGCUGUGAAUUUGAUCAAUUAGCUAUAUAUAGAUAAAUGAAACAAUUCAGUUCCAGCAAAUUCUCCAUCACUCAUAAGGAUUUAGCAACACUACUCAGCAAAGGAUUUUUGCUCAAAUUGUAGUGUCAUCUCAAUUCUAUGUUCUUCCUGUGUUGACAAGGCUUUCAGGUGUGGAGACCAGGCAGAAUGUGAUGAUUCCAAGGUCUAGCCCCACCUCACUAGCCCUGAGAAAGGCACUGACCUAGUUUCCAUCUAGCGUCUCUCCUGCAGGGCCCCAGAUAGCCCAGGGCUAAAUGGUGAGCAUUUUCAACAUUGCUUAGGGUAAGGUCUGAACCCUCAUGAGGAUCUGUUUAGACCUAUGUAUCCUAGAAGGAUCCAAGGGGUCCUUCCCUGGAUCCCUUGUCCUUUGGUAAAGUGCCCUAAGUUCCCUUCCACCACUGAACCAGAUUUAGAAGGAUAAGGUUAGUGGGCUGAGCAAUCCUUCCCUCAUCCUAUCUUUGGUGUCUGUAUCUACUUCCAAGAAAUUCAGUCACUUAUGUGGUGAGUUCACAAGCUCGUAGUCAAGGGGCAGCCACCAUUGGACUUCAGACAUGUCUGGAUGAUGUGCAUAAGACACCGGAGAUGUUUCGUUACAGCUCUGCCUGUAAGUUUGGUUGCAUAUAAAGGAUUCAGUCUCCAGGCGUUUGAGUUACAUGAAGCCCAUCCUAACUGACUGAAUUUUUCUCCUUCACUGAAGCACUGGAAUAAAGAGCUCGGCCAGUGACUUUGCACAUGGUGAUCUGGGUUUGCUACCUAUACACCCAUGGAGGAGCCUAGACCUUCUGAAGCUGAACCAGGGUUAAAAUCUGAAAGUCUCACAAGUUGGUCUCACAAAGCCUCAAUAUAGCAGCCCAUAAAACCAAUGUUUUUCAGAGCUUGGUUUACACACCACUUACAUCGGCAUCACUGUAGGUACCUGUUUAAAAUGUUAUUUCCUGGUGCCCACCGCAUACCCAAAGAACCAGAAUUUGUUGGUG